CGCUGGCGGCAGGCCUAACACAUGCUAAGUCGAACGAGAAGCCACCUUCGGGUGGUGGACAGUGGCAGACGGGUGAGUAACGCGUGGGAACGUGCCUUUCGGUUCGGAAUAACCCAGGGAAACUUGGGCUAAUACCGGAUACGCCCUUCGGGGGAAAGAUUCAUUGCCGAAAGAUCGGCCCGCGUCGGAUUAGCUAGUUGGUGGGGUAAUGGCUCACCAAGGCGACGAUCCGUAGCUGGUCUGAGAGGAUGACCAGCCACACUGGGACUGAGACACGGCCCAGACUCCUACGGGAGGCAGCAGUGGGGAAUAUUGGACAACGGGCGAAAGCCUGAUCCAGCCAUGCCACGUGGGUGAAGAAGGCCUUAGGGUUGUAAACCCCUUUCAGCGGGGAAGAUAAUGACGGUACCCGCAGAAGAAGUCCCGGCUAACUCCGUGCCAGCAGCCGCGGUAAUACGGAGGGGACUAGCGUUGUUCGGAAUUACUGGGCGUAAAGCGCACGUAGGCGGAUUUGUAAGUCAGGGGUGAAAUCCCGGGGCUCAACCUCGGAACUGCCUUUGAUACUGCAAAUCUCGAGUCCGGAAGAGGUGAGUGGAAUUCCUAGUGUAGA
rnacentral:rRNA from 1 species